UGGGGAAUAUUGGACAAUGGGCGAAAGCCUGAUCCAGCCAUGCCGCGUGUGUGAAGAAGGUCUUCGGAUUGUAAAGCACUUUAAGUUGGGAGGAAGGGCAGUAAGCGAAUACCUUGCUGUUUUGACGUUACCGACAGAAUAAGCACCGGCUAACUCUGUGCCAGCAGCCGCGGUAAUACAGAGGGUGCAAGCGUUAAUCGGAAUUACUGGGCGUAAAGCGCGCGUAGGUGGUUCGUUAAGUUGAAUGUGAAAGCCCCGGGCUCAACCUGGGAAGUGCAUCCAAAACUGGCGAGCUAGAGUAGGGCAGAGGGUGGUGGAAUUUCCUGUGUAGCGGUGAAAUGCGUAGAUAUAGGAAGGAACACCAGUGGCGAAGGCGGCCACCUGGGCUCAUACUGACACUGAGGUGCGAAAGCGUGGGGAGCAAACAGG
rnacentral:rRNA from 1 species